rnacentral:snoRNA from 1 species
AUACCAUGGUGAGGACAACAUCGAAGUAAUUCUUCAUAUCUUCCCUAAGCCUCAUACAACGAUUCAAAAUCUUGCUGCAAGAAUGAUGUGAUAUCAUUCCUCAUUUU